rnacentral:rRNA from 1 species
CCUACGGGAGGCAGCAGUAGGGAAUAUUGCUCAAUGGGGGAAACCCUGAAGCAGCAACGCCGCGUGGAGGAUGAAGGUUUUCGGAUUGUAAACUCCUUUUGUUAGAGACGAUAAUGACGGUAUCUAACGAAUAAGCACCGGCUAACUCCGUGCCAGCAGCCGCGGUAAUACGGAGGGUGCAAGCGUUACUCGGAAUCACUGGGGGUAAAGAGCGCGUAGGCGGGAUAGCAAGUCAGAUGUGAAAUCCUAGGGCUUAACCAUAGAACUGCAUUUGAAACUGUUAUUCUAGAGUAUGGGAGAGGUAGGUGGAAUUCUUGGUGUAGGGGUAAAAUCCGUAGAGAUCAAGAGGAAUACUCAUUGCGAAGGCGACCUGCUAGAACAUAACUGACGCUGAUGCGCGAAAGCGUGGGGAGCAAACAGGAUUAGAUACCCGGGUAGUC